rnacentral:sRNA from 1 species
UUGGGAACGGACUCUCUCCCAACCCCUGUGACAUACCCCUUGUUGCCUCGGCGGAUGAGCCCGCUCCCUGUAAAACGGGACGGCCCGCCAGAGGACCCCUAAACUCUGUUUCUAUAUGUAACUUCUGAGUAAAACCAGAAAUAAAUCAAAACUUUCAACAACGGAUCUCUUGGUUCUGGCAUCGAUGAAGAACGCAGCAAAAUGCGUUAAGUAAUGUGAAUUGCAGAAUUCAGUGAAUCAUCGAAUCUUUGUACGCACAUUGCGCCCGCCAGUAUACUGGCGGGCAUGCCUGUUCGAGCGUCAUUUCAACCCUCAAGCACAGCUUGGUUUUGGGACUCGCGUUAUUUCGCGUUCCUCAAUUUGAUUGGCGGUCCCGUCGAGCUUCCAUAGCGUAGUAGUAAAACCCUCGUUACAGGUAAUCGUCGCGGCCACGCCGUUAAAACCCAACUUCUGAAUGUUGACCUCGGAUCAGGUAGGAAUACC